UUGAAAGAAAUCUACGAAAAACUAUGGCAAAAGGAACUCGGCAAAUAUUUGGCCUCGCCUGUUUAACAAAAACAUCACUAGGAGAAGCUUACUCUUAGCAGUGCCUGCCCAGUGCAAAAUUGUAAACGGCCGCCCUAGCGUGAGGGUGCCAAGGUAGCGAAAUUCCUUGCCUUUUAAUUGUAGGCCUGCAUGAAUGGAUUGACGAGGGUCAAGCUGUCUCUUGCCUUGAAUAACGAAAUGGACUAAACAGGGAACUACUCUUAGCAGUGCCUGCCCAGUGCAAAUUGUAAACGGCCGCCCUAGCGUGAGGGUGCCAAGGUAGCGAAAUUCCUUGCCUUUUAAUUGUAGGCCUGCAUGAAUGGAUUGACGAGGGUCAAGCUGUCUCUUGCCUUGAAUAACGAAAUUGGACUAAAGGUGAAGAUACCUUUAUAGAAAAGUUAGACAAGAAGACCCCGUGCAGCUUUAAAAAAUUUACUUAUUAAGAGUUGUAAGAUUUUUAGGUGGGGCGCCUAGGAAGUAAAAUUUAACCUUCUUAUUUGUUAAGAAAGACUCUCUAGUGUAGACCCGGCAAGUCCGAUCAUGGGAGAAGUUACGCCGGGGAUAACAGGCUUAUCCAUUAGUAGAGCUCGUAUUGGCUAAUGGGAUUGGCACCUCGAUGUUGAAUUAAGGAUGAUAGCUCUAAGGCGUAGAGGCUUUAGAAGUGGGUCUGUUCGACCUUUAAAACCUUACGUGAUUUGAGUUCAGACCGGCGUAAGCCAGGUCGGUUUCUAUCUUCUUUUUGAAUUUUCUUUUGGCUUGUACGAAAGGACU